rnacentral:rRNA from 1 species
AGCAGUGCCGCGGUAAUACGGAGGGUGCAAGCGUUAAUCGGAAUUACUGGGCGUAAAGCGCACGCAGGCGGUCUGACAAGUCAGAUGUGAAAUCCCCGGGCUUAACCUGGGAACUGCAUUUGAAACUGUCAGGCUGGAGUCUUGUAGAGGGGGGUAGAAUUCCAGGUGUAGCGGUGAAAUGCGUAGAGAUCUGGAGGAAUACCGGUGGCGAAGGCGGCCCCCUGGACAAAGACUGACGCUCAGGUGCGAAAGCGUGGGGAGCAAACAGGAUUAGAUACCCCUGUAGUCCCUGUCUCUUAUACA